rnacentral:pre_miRNA from 1 species
CUCUUCAACCUCAGGACUUGCAGAACUAAGAGAGUGCCGUCCUAAGGUUGUUGAGUU